GAAAUGCGAUAAGUAAUGUGAAUUGCAGAAUUCCGUGAAUCAUCGAGUCUUUGAACGCACAUUGCGCUCUCUGGUAUUCCGGGGAGCAUGCCUGUCCGAGCGUCAUUUGCAACCCUCAAGCCCGGCUUGUGUGAUGGGCCCUGGCGUCUCGUUCGCGAGACGGGCCCGAAAGGCAGCGGCGGCGUCGACCCGAUGAGCCCGAGCGUAUGGGGACUUUUGUCACACGUUUGCGGUGCGGACCGGCGCCUGCUUGACUUUUCUGAUUAUCCAGGUUGACCUCGGAUCAGGUAGGGAUACCCGCUGAACUUAAGC
rnacentral:misc_RNA from 1 species